AGAGUUUGAUCCUGGCUCAGAUUGAACGCUGGCGGAAUGCUUUACACAUGCAAGUCGGGCGGCAGCACGGGGGCAACCCUGGUGGCGAGCGGCGAACGGGUGAGUAACACAUCGGAACGUACCCAGUUGUGGGGGAUAGCCCGGCGAAAGCCGGAUUAAUACCGCAUAAGUCCUGAGGGAGAAAGCGGGGGACCGCAAGGCCUCGCGCGACUGGAGCGGCCGAUGUCUGAUUAGCUAGUUGGUGGGGUAAAGGCCCACCAAGGCGACGAUCAGUAGCGGGUCUGAGAGGAUGAUCCGCCACACUGGAACUGAGACACGGUCCAGACUCCUACGGGAGGCAGCAGUGGGGAAUUUUGGACAAUGGGGGCAACCCUGAUCCAGCCAUUCCGCGUGAGUGAAGAAGGCCUUCGGGUUGUAAAGCUCUUUCGGCAGGAACGAAACGGUCACGGCUAAUACCUGUGACUACUGACGGUACCUGAAGAAGAAGCACCGGCUAACUACGUGCCAGCAGCCGCGGUAAUACGUAGGGUGCGAGCGUUAAUCGGAAUUACUGGGCGUAAAGCGUGCGCAGGCGGCUUUUUAAGCCAGAUGUGAAAUCCCCGGGCUUAACCUGGGAACUGCAUUUGGAACUGGAAGGCUAGAGUGCGGCAGAGGGGGGUAGAAUUCCACGUGUAGCAGUGAAAUGCGUAGAGAUGUGGAGGAAUACCGAUGGCGAAGGCAGCCCCCUGGGUCGACACUGACGCUCAUGCACGAAAGCGUGGGGAGCAAACAGGAUUAGAUACCCUGGUAGUCCACGCCCU
rnacentral:rRNA from 1 species